UGCGCUGCAAUAGCGCCCAUCCCUCCACCCGUGAAAUCCGUCGAUGAUCGGCACACCCGGUACAUAGGGCUGAUUCGUCGGCGGUUUCAUCAUCCGUUGGCUUGCAAUAGGGCAGAUAAAACUGUCGAUCGCAUACGACGGAUUUAUCAGCCCUAUUACGAAUGGCCUAAAUCAAUAAUGAUGGUUGAUGAAUGGAGGCAAGUGAUGGAUCAUUAAAGAGAAAAUACCUGUCAGUAUUCAACUGCAAUCCCAAUUAAUGUUUUUGCAAGACGUGUCACGAUGUAACUUGAUUUUCAUGCAAAUAUCAAAUUUAAAAGUGGCAACUUGUGCGCUUAGAUAUUGAAAUCUUGCACUCUUUUGUAAUAGUUUAAACGUGGCCUAUCGACGUCCAAACAAUGCCAAAAAACUUGGUAUGUUAGGUAGGCACGAAUUAUAUAUACACACACGCGUAUGUAUAUAGGGAUAGAGGUAAUCUAAGAUAAAGAUUAUUAUCAA